CCCUUAGAUGUUCUGGGCCGCACGCGCGCUACACUGAUUCAUGCAACAAGUUUUGUCCUUGGCUGAUAGGCCUGGGUAAUCUUUGAACGUGAAUCGUGAUGGGGAUAGAUGAUUGCAAUUAUUCAUCUUCAACGAGGAAUUCCUAGUAAACGCAAGUCAUCAGCUUGCAUUGAUUACGUCCCUGCCCUUUGUACACACCGCCCGUCGCACCUACCGAUUGAAUGGUCCGGUGAAAUCUUCGGAUCUGAGAGAUGUCUGAUUAAUUUCGGACGCCUUUUGUAAAAGUUGUUUAAACCUUACCAUUUAGAGGAAGGUGAAGUCGUAACA
rnacentral:rRNA from 1 species